GGUCAAGCGAAUAAGCGCACACGGUGGAUGCCUAGGCGGUCAGAGGCGAUGAAGGACGUGGUAGCCUGCGAAAAGUGUCGGGGAGCUGGCAACAAGCUUUGAUCCGGCAAUAUCCGAAUGGGGAAACCCACUGCUUCGGCAGUAUCCUGCAGUGAAUUCAUAGCUGCUGGAAGCGAACCCGGUGAACUGAAAUAUCUAAGUAACCGGAGGAAAAGAAAUCAACCGAGAUUCCCUGAGUAGUGACGAGCGAACGGGGAACAGCCCUUAAGCUGGAAUGGCUUUAGAAAAACAAUCUGGAAAGAUUGGCCAUAGAAGGUGAUAGCCCUGUAUUUAAAAGGGCCACUCCAGUGAAGACGAGUAGGGCGGGGCACGUGAAACCCUGUCUGAAUAUGGGGGGACCAUCCUCCAAGGCUAAAUACUCCUGACCGACCGAUAGUGAACCAGUACCGUGAGGGAAAGGCGAAAAGAACCCCGGAGAGGGGAGUGAAAUAGAUCCUGAAACCGUGUGCGUACAAGCAGUAGGAGCUCGCAAGAGUGACUGCGUACCUUUUGUAUAAUGGGUCAGCGACUUACUGUUCGUGGCAAGCUUAACCGUAUAGGGGAGGCGAAGGGAAACCGAGUCUGAUAAGGGCGCAUAGUCGCGGGCAGUAGACCCGAAACCGGGUGAUCUAGUCAUGGCCAGGGUGAAGGUGCCGUAACAGGUACUGGAGGCCCGAACCCACGUCUGUUGCAAAAGACGGGGAUGAGCUGUGAUUAGGAGUGAAAAGCUAAUCGAACCCGGAGAUAGCUGGUUCUCCUCGAAAGCUAUUUAGGUAGCGCCUCGGACGAAUACUACUGGGGGUAGAGCACUGUUAUGGCUAGGGGGUCAUCGCGACUUACCAAACCAUUGCAAACUCCGAAUACCAGUACGUACUAUCCGGGAGACACACGGCGGGUGCUAACGUCCGUCGUGAAAAGGGAAACAACCCAGACCCACAGCUAAGGUCCCAAAUUCACUGCUAAGUGGAAAACGAUGUGGAAAGGCAUAGACAGCCAGGAGGUUGGCUUAGAAGCAGCCACCCUUUAAAGAAAGCGUAAUAGCUCACUGGUCGAGUCGGUCUGCGCGGAAGAUUUAACGGGGCUAAGCAGUGAACCGAAGCUUGGGGUGCAUAAAACUUGUUUUAUGCGCGGUAGAGGAGCGUUCCGUAAGCCUGCGAAGGUGGAUUGAGAAGUCUGCUGGAGGUAUCGGAAGUGCGAAUGCUGACAUGAGUAACGAUAAUGCGGGUGAAAAGCCCGCACGCCGAAAGCCCAAGGUUUCCUUGCGCAACGUUAAUCGACGCAGGGUUAGUCGGUCCCUAAGGCGAGGGCGAAAGCCGUAGUCGAUGGGAAGCAGGUUAAUAUUCCUGCACCUCGCGUGAGUGCGAUGGAGGGACGGAGAAGGUUAGGUGUACCGGGCGUUGGUUGUCCCGGGGAAAGGCGGUAGGUUUGAAUCUUUGGCAAAUCCGGGAUUCUUUAAGACCGAGCACCGAGACGAGCCUUUAUGGCGAAGUCACUGAUACCACGCUUCCAGGAAAAGCUCCUAAGCUUCAGCUCACGAAGACCGUACCGUAAACCGACACAGGUGGGUAGGAUGAGAAUUCUCAGGCGCUUGAGAGAACUCGGGUGAAGGAACUAGGCAACAUGGCACCGUAACUUCGGGAGAAGGUGCACCCUUUUUGGUGGCUCAUGCGAGCUAUAGCUGAAGAGGGUCGCAGAAACCAGGCCGCUGCGACUGUUUAUCAAAAACACAGCACUCUGCAAACACGAAAGUGGACGUAUAGGGUGUGACGCCUGCCCGGUGCUGGAAGGUUAAUUGAUGGGGUCAGCCGCAAGGCGAAGCUCUUGAUCGAAGCCCCAGUAAACGGCGGCCGUAACUAUAACGGUCCUAAGGUAGCGAAAUUCCUUGUCGGGUAAGUUCCGACCUGCACGAAUGGCGUAACGACAGCGGCGCUGUCUCCACCCGAGACUCAGUGAAAUUGAAAUCGCUGUGAAGAUGCAGCGUUCCCGUGGCAAGACGGAAAGACCCCGUGAACCUUUACUAUAGCUUUACACUGAACGUUGAGUUCGUCUGUGUAGGAUAGGUGGGAGGCUAUGAAACUGUGGCGCUAGCUGCAGUGGAGCCAUCCUUGAAAUACCACCCUGUCGUGCUUGACGUUCUAACCUAGGUCCGUUAUCCGGAUCAGGGACCGUGUAUGGUGGGUAGUUUGACUGGGGCGGUCUCCUCCUAAAGAGUAACGGAGGAGCACGAAGGUACGCUCAGCGCGGUCGGACAUCGCGCACUGUGUGCAAAGGCAUAAGCGUGCUUGACUGCAAGAUCGACGGAUCAAGCAGGUACGAAAGUAGGUCUUAGUGAUCCGGUGGUUCUGUAUGGAAGGGCCAUCGCUCAACGGAUAAAAGGUACUCCGGGGAUAACAGGCUGAUACCGCCCAAGAGUUCAUAUCGACGGCGGUGUUUGGCACCUCGAUGUCGGCUCAUCACAUCCUGGGGCUGUAGUCGGUCCCAAGGGUAUGGCUGUUCGCCAUUUAAAGUGGUACGCGAGCUGGGUUCAGAACGUCGUGAGACAGUUCGGUCCCUAUCUGCCAUGGGCGUUGGAAGUUUGAGAGGGGCUGCUCCUAGUACGAGAGGACCGGAGUGGACGAACCUCUGGUGUUCCGGUUGUCACGCCAGUGGCAUUGCCGGGUAGCUAUGUUCGGAAGCGAUAACCGCUGAAAGCAUCUAAGCGGGAAGCGCGCCUCAAGAUGAGACUUCCCGGGGCACAAGCCCCCUAAAGGAACCAUGUAGACUACGUGGUUGAUAGGUCAGGUGUGUAAGUACAGCAAUGUAUUGAGCUAACUGAUACUAAUGAUCCGUGCGGCUUGACCAU
rnacentral:rRNA from 2 species